rnacentral:tRNA from 1 species
GGCCUGGUGGCGGAACGGCUACGCGGCGGGCGUGCAAGCCCGAGGAUCCUUCGUUCGAUUCGAAGGCCAGGCCU